AUAAAAGGCAAUACAUCAGAACAUUUUCUCUGUAAACCCUAAACUACAAACGCCGCUUUCAUUCUUUUCAUCUAUCUUUGUGUUUUCUCCUCUCCAUUGAAGCCGCUUCGAUUCUUUGAGGUAUCCUGCAAUCCUCAACUCGAACCCUAAUUGGUGGUCCAAUUGCUUUUAUUGUUAAUUGUAUGUUAUUAUGAAUUUGGGUUUUGUUGUUUUUUUGAACAAUGGGUUUUGAUAAGAAGAGAGCGACAGACAGAGGUGGUGUCGCAGACAUGGCGACGACCUUUCUGCUCAACUUGCUAGGGUUCCGACACUAUGUUCAUGAGUUCCUUCACUUUGAAGUUUAAGAUCUCUCACUACGUGAAGUUCAUCUGCCCCUCAAUUUUUAGUUUUCUAGCAUGUAAGUGUUUAUGUUUUUGCAGAACAGGGUUUUGUUCUUUAUGUUGUCACAAUUGUCGUUUGUUCUGUGAAUAGCAAACUUGAAACCCUAAUUCGAAGGAUGCUGGAAGAGGAAGAGAUGUCAGUCCCACAUUUUGAGUUUGCUGCUGGUGAAGGAUCUUAACCAGUGGAAGAUCGACAUCAGGGAUAAGCCUGAAUUAAAGAAGCUUUUUGCCUCCACAAAGUAAACUUACUCAUUGCUAAUAUUCUUGGUGUAUCUUUUGGCAAUAGGGUAAUUAUAACGCAUAUAAACAAGUGGGAAUCCGUAUUAGUUUUGAUUGGUACGCAGGUUUGAUGCUGUUAUACAUUUGGCUGGAUUGAAGGCUGUUGGCGAAAGUGUGCAGAAGCCAUUGAAGUAUUACGACAAAGUUCCCGUCUUGGCUCCGAAUACUCCCCGACCACUGAACCAUUUCAGCUUUAUCUACCCUUUACAUCCGAAAGCACUGGUGCAAUUCUACAUGAGUUACCAUAGCUUAAUACUUCUGAUACAUGGGCUACACGGCAGACUCUACGUCACAUUGGGUAGAAGCAUUGCAUGAAGUUUCUGGUCGUCGGCAGAAGACAGAGGAAGCUUCUAUGACUACAAAACGAUUAAAGAGUUACUCGAAUCGCGAAAAGCUUCUUCACAGUAUACAUUCGGAAAUAGCGAUGGUUCAGGAAGCAUGUCGACAUUAAAAAGUUGCAUUUUUGCAAAGAAACACAUAACAACUAUUAUCACAACCCUCCAUCGUCUUACUAUGCUUGGUUUGUGCUUGAAUCAUGUCUUUCUUUAAAAGAUGUUCUGAUGCAAAGUCUGAUUAUUAUACAAUUAGCCUACAAGUUGUUAGAGGUAUACUCCACUUUAACUAUGAUAGUAUCUGCCAUAGAAGAACUGCAAGGAAUGACUUUAAAACGACAAUGAAAAGAGGCUUCUCCACAAUUGGAGGAAAAAGUGACACUCUAUUGCUACUCCAUUGAUCUUUAGAAGAUGGUUCCAUGGUCAUGGUUGUUAGAAAAAGUAAACAUUUUACUGUGUAAGUCAUGUCUCACUUAACUGUUUUUAAUGUGUUAUCAUUGUUUCGCUUAGGAUUAUGAUGAUUUAAGUCAUUUUAUUUUUGAGUUGAACCAUA